rnacentral:misc_RNA from 1 species
GAAGAAGAAGAAGAAGAAGAUACAAAUUAUCCUUGCCUCCUGUAUAAAGCAUAGUUUGACUUUAUUUCAUGCUACUUAGAGUUUCUGCCAUUAAAGCUAAAUGAAAAUUUCAAAUUCUUUAUUGUGAUACAAUAUAUGAACAUUCUACUGUAGUAGAUUGAAUGGAAAGGAUUGAUGAAGAGAGUAGCAUAAAGUGGAAGUUUAUACCAAGCUUGAAUGCCAUCUUGACAAACAAUGGUCGCUUGAGGGUCCUUCAUAGCUAUAUGUUUUCCUUUUUUAUAUAUAUAUAUAUUUUUUAUGUCUAAAUUUGAUACAUUAUAAAUCUAAAAUAUCAAAUAUAUUGUAAGAUUCAUGAAUUUCAUAUAUUUAUUGUUAUAAAUAGCUUGUAUGUU